UAGGGAAUCUUCCGCAAUGGACGCAAGCCUGACGGAGCAACGCCGCGUGAGUGAAGAAGGAUUUCGGUUCGUAAAACUCUGUUGUUAGAGAAGAACAGCGCAUAGAGUAACUGUUAUGCGUGUGACGGUAUCUAACCAGAAAGCCACGGCUAACUACGUGCCAGCAGCCGCGGUAAUACGUAGGUGGCAAGCGUUGUCCGGAUUUAUUGGGCGUAAAGCGAGCGCAGGCGGUCAAUUAAGUCUGAUGUGAAAGCCCCCGGCUCAACCGGGGAGGGUCAUUGGAAACUGGUUGACUUGAGUGCAGAAGAGGAGAGUGGAAUUCCAUGUGUAGCGGUGAAAUGCGUAGAUAUAUGGAGGAACACCAGUGGCGAAGGCGACUCUCUGGUCUGUAACUGACGCUGAGGUUCGAAAGCGUGGGUAGCAAACAGG
rnacentral:rRNA from 1 species